AUAAUUAGCCAGCUAGGUUGCUAAAUCCAUAUGUUAGCUACGUCACGACUUUAAGGACAUGUUUACCACUUUAGCGUAGUGUUGUUGUGGAUAAUCCAAAAAUGGGCUCUAUCGGCUGCCAGCUUUGGAGCUGAAUCAGUACUGGCCAAGGGCAAACUGCAGCACAUCAUUCACUCUGCUGAGAAAGGCGUGAGUCAUGACCUCCUGGUCUCCGUGCAGCCUGGAAAAUAAUUGGGGACCUCCAUCACCCCAGACACCCCAGAACCCUCAGUGGUGCUUCCAGCUAAUCAACCCUCCACCUCUUCACCUUUCCCUCUGCACUGGUGAAGAAAACAUCUGCUCACACAAAAGGACAAGAAGCAAGAAAUAAAAUGAUUUUGUGGAAUCAUC